CACCAUCCCAGCACUCUGGGAGGCUGAGGCAGGAGGGUCACCUCAGGGUGAUAAUGAGUUUGAGGCCGGUCUGUACUAAAGACCCUGUCUCACAUAAAGGUGAACUAAAUCCAACCCUCAAGCUCCAGUAGCGUGCAGAGCGUCUCUCUCAGGAGAAACGCAAAGUAAAACUGAAGAGCAAAAUAAAAGGCCUGAUAGGAAGCAGGGAGGGAACCAGGAGAUGGGGGGGGACUAUCGAGGUGCAUGCACAACCCCACCCUGCCAUGCACUGCCGGAACCCAUCUCCUCAUAGUUCCAUUUUGCAGAUGAGCAAACUGAGUGCUGAGGGCAGCACCCCACAUAAACCGUCAUCGUGCAUGUGAGGGUGACAGGGCCCCAAGCUGGAGCUCUCUGCCUCUAGAGAGCAUUUCCAGAUUCUUCUCUUUCUUUCCAGUUUUUAAUUUUUUUUUUCUUGAGGAUGUCACUGUGUAGCCCAGGCUGGUCUUGAACCCUUGGCAAUCCUCCCGCCUUGGCCUCCUGAGUGCUGGGAUGACAGGGUGCCCCUCCGGGGCGGCUCUCUGGGCUGUCUUUUCUUGUCAUGGACUGCUCCUUACACCCCUGCUCAGUGACUUGGGAAAUAGCCUGGCUUCCCCACCCCAGGAACUGGGCAGAGGGUGGGAGGCAUGUAUUCUGCAGGAGGAGUCCUGGGUGAGAGAAAAACAUGGAGCGUGGGGGAGAGGCAGAAAGCAAAUCAGACCAGGUCACUGGGGCAGGAAACAGCUGUCAGCAGGAAAGGGCCCAGCUUCCGGGCAGCUGUGUGCUAACCGGUGAUCCACAGCCCGGCCAGCUCCGGCUCUCAGGAACAGGACCAGGCAGUGGGAUUCUCUGCAGGGGCUGCAGACACAGGUGGGGUGAGGGUGGCGCAGGCCAGUCACCCCAGCCCUUGAGAAGCUGAGGCAGGAGGAUCACUCCCAGUCCAAGGCCAGCCUCAGCUACCUAGCAAGACCCUGUCUCAAAAAUGGCAUAAACCAAGAGCUACAAAUGCAUUUCCGACUUGCCCAGGCUCAUGUGAAAUUAAUCUUUCUCAGCGCAGCUCAGUCACACACAGUGUCCGCCCGGAAGCGGUGGGACUGCAGCGCUCUGAGUUCCUGGCCUCGGAUGCUGUGCGCUCUUCAGUCCGCAGGUUAGGGAUUGUUCUCGGCUCAGUGUGCUUGAAGUCUGGACCCAGAAAUGUCACCAGGUGGGACCCCAGUCAAGCUCUGGGUCACUCAGACACCAACUUCUUUUUCCAUUCAUUUGCAGGGAACAGACAAAGCCCACCCCCAGUUCAGCAUUUUCAGAAUAACCUGCUCAGGAAAGGUCCAGCUGCUGCCUCCUUUGGAGGUGGAAUUCAAGCUUCCUGAGGCCUCUCACACCCCAUCUCUGUCUCCAUUACCCCUUCCUUAGGCUCCAGGGGGACGGGUUUUUAGAUAAAGAUAAAACUUGGCACUUCCCUGAGGUAAGGACCAGCUGGGUUUUCAGCAUGGUUUUUUGGUUGGUGGUGUUGUUUUAGACCGGGUCUCCUUGUUUCGCUAUGGCUGGCCUGGAACUCACUACAGAGCCCAGGCUGGCCUCGAACAGGUGGCGAUCCUCCUGCCUCAACCUCCCUCGGUGCUGGGAAUAGAAGUGAUCAACACUGAGCCCAGCAUUCCAUUCGGCAUAAUAUUUUGCACCUAAUUUGAAAAUCAAAACACUAACAGGCAAAUUUAAGCUGAACUCCCUAUUUUUAGAACAGUACUAAAAAUUACAGAAUUUAUUUUCAGCCAUAUGGCUGCACAGAAAUGGAGGCCGUGGGCACCUGGCCAAGCCGGUGGCCACAGAAGUGGCCACCUCCCACCUCCCAGUGCCACAGAGCCACCAGCACCUCUGGGGAAUCCAGGACUAGGCAGAAGAGCAGUUGCAGGCUUAGCAUUUCUUGGCUUUUUGCUAAUUUCCUUGUAGUUCUGAUGAAUGUGGGAGCUCUCUGAGCUUGCUGGGGGAGAGGGAGUAGGGCUUUUUUUUUUCUUUUUUUAAAUUAGGAAUUGAGAAGAAAAGUCCCCUUAUGCAUUCUUCCAGGAAUCAACUUAAUUAUGCCUCUGUCAGCAGGAAGUUUAUAGGGGAGUCAAUUAAAAAAAGGAGCCAGCCUGGCCUUUAAUUAUCUCAGCUGGUAUUCAGCCUUCAAAAGUCUGCGACCUGCUGAGUGUGUUAAUUUAACCACUUCAUAGUGUCUGAAUCCGCCCUUCCACACCGGCCACCUCCCCUGGGGAAGGAACGGGCUGCAGAGAUCUCUAACCCUCCCCUCUGCUGCUUAAUACUGUGAGCUUCCAUUAUGAUGAUUAUCGUCAUUAUCAUGAUCGUUAUUAUUAUCUUGCUUUUUGAGAUAAGAGUCUCACUUGUGUAGUCCAGGCUCGCCCUAAACUUGGGAUGAUCUUCCUGCCUCAGCCUCCUGAGUGCUGGGACUUCAGGUGUGCACCACAACACCUGGCCCUCAUCCUGUUACCUGUGUGUCAGUGUCCGCGUAGGAGGGCCCUUUCGCCUUAUGCACUUGGUAAAGACUCGCGUGUGACAUGCAGUGUUAGUAGCUGCUGGCAAUGAGAACUUCGCUCCUGGGUUGGGUGCAGUUUUCCCGCUCCUCCUGGGGGCCAGUUGUGGUGAGGUGCUCCUGGAACCCCAGCACCCUGGGAGGCUGAGGCAGGACAAUUGGAAUGUUAAGCUCAACCUGGAUAACUGAGUGACUUGCUUUAGCAGUCUCAAUUUUUGCAAAAGGCGGAUCCAUGUCAGCGGCGUCCCGGGAGCCUGAGGUCUCAGAAUCCACCACUGACUUAGGGUUCAGGGUUAGUCCUGGCCUGCGGCAUGGCCUCCCUGGCCGCCGUGGCCAUGUCUGUUUCACACCUGCAGCGGUGUCGGCCCCAAAUCUGACUCCUCGCCUGCUAUAUGGAAGCAUCUGCGUCCUGCAUGGAGCGCAGUUUGUGUUAUUACCCGUUCACGGUGUGCUGUGCGCUCUGGUGCUAUUCCGCCCUCCUUCCCACCUCUCCCCACUCAGGCCAGGGACUCAGGGCUCCUCCAGGGACGCUGUUCCAGGGGCAGCCAGUGUCACUGCCCUGGCAGCCACCCUGCCACUGACCCUGGUCACUCAUAACCGGCCGGCACCUGCAUUUCGCUGGAUGCCACUGCUCUUCUGUCUAUUGUAAAUUCAGUUUUCAGGGCCAGAGAUUUUAGCUCAGUGGCACAAGCACUUGCCUGGCAAAGUGUGAGAUCUACAGAAACAAAAAUAAAUAAAUUUGGUUUUUAAUUUAGUCAUGUCUCCAACAGUAUCAUACCUAUAGUCACUGCUUUGGUAGGAAAUUACUAUUUUUUCUAACAACCAAUAAAAUAAAAUAAAUCUACUAAAAUGAGGACUGGGUCACCAUGUGUCACUGACGGUCUCUGUGGGUAUCCGAGAGUAGAAAAAUACUCUUUGACCCGGCGACCAGUCCAGCACUGUAACUCACCAGUGAUCUCUCCCUGAAAUGUAACGCAUGGGUCUCGAGUAUAAUGCAAAAUGCACUUUUUGGCCUUGGUGUGCGAGGAGUCACCCUGCACUGGGGUUCUGUAGCUUCUCGUCCGCCCUCUGGACCCCUCCUGGCUCCUCCUGGAGCUAAGCUUUCUGUUCCAGAGAAUGUGGGUGCCCCCAGCAGCUCCUUGUGCUGUUCCGGAACUUUGUUCCCAGCUGUGUCUUGGGAACAGUUAGAGCCCAGGAGGAAUCCUGUGAGAAUGCCGUACAAUAUUUCUUUCUUGGAAGAUUCCCAACACGUGUUUAUUAACUGAGUAUAAAAAUCGUGGCAUUCUAGAUUCCAUCAGAGAAGCAGAGGCAGAAAUGGUCUCAUGUUUCGUGAGAGUGAAACAUUUCUUGGUCUUCAUUGAUCUGCACAUGUUAUAAUGAAUGUGGCUUUUUGCAUUUUGUUUUGGUUUCUGCUUUUUUUUUCUAGUAGCACCAAGGAUUGAACCUGGGACUUUUGCACUGAGCUAUAUCCACAGUCCUUCAUAAAAAAAUUUUUUCAGGCAGAGCCUCCGUAAGUUGUGUCACCCAGGGUGAACUGGAAUUUGCGAUCUUCCUGCCUCAGCCUCCUAGGGUGCCUGGGUUAUACAGACAUGCGCCCCCAGCCAGCUGUGGUUUUGUGGAUUUUCUGCACGCUGUUGAAGCUGUUUCCAAAAAAGCGGGAGACUCGCUCACCCUUACCCCUCCCCAAUCGGGGGGAGCAGAGGGCGUUUGAUCCCUGACCUCCUGCCUGGGCCCCGUGCCUGCUGGAAACCGAUUUAUGCAGGGUCACCGCUUUGGAGGCUGCCCUGGAAAGACCAUGUCCAGCAAGAAGCCAGAACUCCGCGUUUUUAUAUGAAAACUACCGGUUUCUAAAUGUUGGCUCUGCUGUCUUUUUUUUUAGUUUUUAUGAUUCUUGGUGGGCCAAGUGUAACAAGUCCAUCGGCCAGCACCGGCCGCCACUGCCGGUCUCUGGCUUUGGCCUUGGACUUCAUUUCCCGGUCCGAUUUUAGAGUCUGCCCCAACUUGGUAAGAAUUUUUAAAUAACUAAUCCUGCCAUCCAUGGCCUGUGCAGGUGCUGUGCGCUGGAGUCCAAAGGGACCUGUGAGGCGAGGUCAUCUCUGCUCGGGGUGGCACUGGACCCCAGCCUCCCCUCUAGCAAGUGCAGCAGGCAGGGGCCACUCACCAGGCUCUUUGGAAGAUGGGCUGAGGUUGUGGCCCAGCAGUAGGGGACAUGCUGCCUGCACACAGGAAUGACCAUGCACACGAGGCGGGCCACAGCGUCCAGGUCUGCGACCUACAGGGGUCACUGGGGACUGGUUGUCCACUUUUAUCCGCUGUCAGCAGUGGGCAAGUGAGACAGGGAGCAAGACAGACAGAAAGACAGACGCAGAGACAGAGAAAAAGAAAAUCACCUUAAAUUAAGAUGCUCUGCAGUUCCGUUCUUAGUGCUGAUCUUUAACUUCAGAAACAUUUCAUUUCUCCUUUCCCCAAUCUGUAAUAUAUACAAAUGAACCGACUAGGUAAUUGGUUUUCAAAUUAGAUAAUUUUUUCUAAAUUAAUACAUAACCUUCUCUUUUUUUGUCUUUUUUUGAGACAGGGUCUUGCUAUGCAGUUCAGGCUGGCCUUGAGCUCACUUUGUAGCCCAGGCUGGUCUCAAACUAGCAAUGAUCCUCCCACCUCAGCCUCCCGAGUGCUGAGAUUACAGGCGUGAGCCACCACGCCCGGCUACUUAACCUUCAUAGCCACGUUGAAGUAGAAACAGUCAGGAGAAUUAGACAGGGGAAUAGAUUUAUUUUUGGUUUCGUAAUUGUUUGAGAGAGGGUCUUCCUGUGUACCCCAGGCUGGCCUGGAACUAUGGGGAUCCUCCUGACUUGGCCUCCUGAGUGCUGGGAUUACAGGUGUGUAAUCACAGGUUUGGGAGUAGUUUUGUCUUGUUCUGUGCUUUUGUGUUUUAUGUUAAGAACCGGCUGCAGGAACUUCCGAGUGCAGGUGGUUCCCACUAGGCUCAUCUUUAUUCCUGGCUCACCUGCUAGGCUGUUGUCUGAUCUGUUGGAUUGUGCCAACCUACACCCUGUCAGCUGGAGGCCUCUCCUGCAGUCCUGGCGGCUGGCAGGCUUAGGUGAGGGCUGAGGCGGGUUCUGGGUCUAGCGAGCCCACACUUCCACUCCGAUGAUGCCAUCUUGCUAUGUUCCCCAUGGUAGAUGGGCCAGUGUAUAUAGCAAUGUAGUCUUUGGAAAGUAUUUCUGUGAUUACUUAUGGAACUGGGGUUUGACCGUAGGACCUCACGAUGAGCCACAACCUCCUCCCUUACUGAUUUUUUUUUUCCUCAGAGAAAAGGAUUAUCUAGGGUGAAUUUGAAUUUGUGACCCUCCUGCCUCAGCCUCCUAGAGUGCUGGAUUACAGGUGUGCACCACCACACCUGGUUGGAAACUUCCACCUUCAGUGGCGUGUGAUGAUUCCCCAACUGGCAUGCUAUCACUUACUUGUGUCUUUGUUUUAAGAAUUGUUUUCCUCAUUUUUAAUUUUUUAGUAAAUAAUUUUGCAGUGAUUCCCCCAGGCACCUGCUUUGGUUUAUUUCCUUCAGGUAAAGUGCUUCCCUGUUAGACCAUUGGGUCAAGGGGGUGAUGUUUUAUGUUUCAUUCAUCUAAGGUGGGGCUAGGAUCUGACCCAGGGCCUUGUACCUGCAAGGAAGGGCUCCUCCGGGAAGUGCAGCCUUGAACCCCACUUCCUGAAGGCCAGGCGAGGUUUCCCAGCACUGAUAACAUCCCGUCUGGCCCACAGGACACCCCUGUCUCCUGCCAGUGCUGGUACCUCCCUCGGGGGUGCUUGGUAAAGGUGGGGAUGGCGGAUUAGAGUCGCUCUGCUUCCAGAGAAGUCUCGAGGAGCCUCUGGGCAAACGCUGGCUGGGAGGCGAAGCAACGGGGAAGGAGCCCAGAGGCCGGCCGGCUCCGUGGGAAGGAGGCUGCGGUGCGGCGAGGGGAGCUGUUGCCCACUGAAACUGCAGCCAUGGGAGAAAAUGAGGGGGUCGGGGCUCUGAGAAGACGCAGGGGAGACUCCAGCUCUGGAGGGGGGGAGCCCUCCAUCGGUCACCUGUGCAGCCCCUGCAGGGCACGUGGGUGCAUGUGUAUGUAUGAAUGUGCAUGUGUGCAUACAUGUUGUGUGUGCGUGUGUGCAAGUGCAUGCGCGUGCAUGUGCGUGGAGUACAUCUGUGGCUAUCAUUGUGCCGUGCGUGGUAUUCAGUGCAAAACGAAGUCACUACCUAAAGCCCGGCCCGGUCCUUCCACACAGCGUAGAAGCCCAGCGUGUCGCCUCGGCAGCCAGGGACCCGGAUGACAAGGCACCAGGCAGGAGGGGGAGGGGCAGGGAGAGCAAGGUGUCCCGUGGGCCGCAUCGGGCCCUGCUCCCGGCCAGGGCUGUGACCCACACCCAGCGCAACAGCAGGCCCUUCUACCCUCCUGAUCCCUGUGGAUCCCUGCGGUCAGCGGGCUCCAGGGAGCCGCCAUAGUGGGCAGAAGCGCUCCUGCGCGUUAGGGUUACCUUGGGCUUGAAGGGCAAAGACGCUGGGCUGGCCUCAUCCGAGCCGGUGCCUCACAGGUAUAGAAGAAUUGGGGCCAUCAAUAAACUGCCGGUGUCACGGGUGCAGGGACCACAUAGCCCAGAGAGGCCUGGUCCCUUCCCUCUGGGCCCCCGCUCUUCCCAGGACCCCAUUGGGUUCCCUCCCUCUGAACCAACUUUCUUCCACCCACGCACUGCAGCGCCCCCCUGGGUCACGCAAAAGAGUCGGUUGCCCAAGAAAGCUCGGUGGAGUAAGAGUGUCAAUCCACAGGGGAUUUAGGACCCACCGUGGUGCUCACAGUGAAAACCGAAAGAGUCCUAGCAGCAGACAUUUUGAGGAUGCUUCAAAGCCUAUCAGAAUUUCAGGAAGGGACACACUAGUCCUGGGUUCGAAUCUUGGCUCUAGGACCUGGACAGAUGUCAGCAGUGUUCACCACCCCAUGCCUCAGCCUCAGUUUAUCCAUCUGGAGGUAGAGAGCAGGAUAUCCCCUUUAUAGCAUUGCUGUCACAUGCUUCGCCUGCAGCCAUGAGCUGCUCAUGUCCUGCCUGGGGAAACUGAGGCAGCACGGACCCCAGGGGUGUUCUUCUGGGCUCAGCCUGGACUGCAGCCCCCCGGAUCUUGAGUGUCCUCCGAGCUCCCUCAUUUCCAGGUUCUUGGCUUGGGGUCCCUGGUGUCCCCCAGGGGAGAGGAUGGCAUCACUGGCACAGGCAGAGCCUGGUGGGGAUGCAGUGCCCAGGGUUGGACUCCAACCCGAGCCUGCAGACAGCUGCAUUACCCUGGAGUCCCUGCCACCCACAGGGCAGGCACCGCUGGCCCCUGGCUAACACAGGGCUCAUUUGCAUAGCAUAACAGGAAGCAACCCCAAUGCAGAGCAGCCUGGCAGGGCACAGGUGGCAGCAGGUGCCAGGUCCCCGAGCCUCGGCCAUGCCCUCAGCCUCCGUGCUGGGCUUGGGCCAGCGCCUCUGAGCUGCCUUGGCCCUGCCUGCCACUCGGGAGUCUUGGCUGUGUUUGUCACCUCCCUGGUGCUGGCAGGCAGGACAGGAAGAGGGGGUGGCUGGCAGGGACCUGUGUUGCCUGCCAGGGAGGAGACGCCUCCUCUCCCGGCAGAUGUGUGAGUCACCUCAGGAGCCGGGAACAGGCUCCAUCUGCCUUCCAGACGGGCUCUGCUGCGCUGCCCAAGCUGGUCUCAAACUCCUGGCUCCUGUUGUAGGUGGCUCAGUUACAUUGAGCUUGAUACACAGCUGAAAGGGGACCAGGCCCAAGACAGGGGAGCCUAAGCCCCAGUGCUCACAGCUCCCUCUGACUGUAUUAUUCAAAGUGAGGUCCAAAAAAGCACUGCACCCGAGAAACUGCUGGGACGAUUCCGUGUCCCAGAAACUCAGGGAGGCCCUGCCAGCCCCACAGGGGGAGAAAGCUGCUCCUUCCUGCGCACCUGCAGGCCAUACCCGCUCCAGGGAGGCCUCCAGGGGCCUCCAGGUACCUCCUGGGGAUGCGUGGGCUGUGGAUUCAGAGCUCCUGGACUCCAGCCGUGCUCACCACUCCCUCGGGAAAUGACACUACUUCCUGUGCCAAGGGGACAAUCGUCCAGGGAGCACAGGAUGGCUUGAGCCAGCGAGGCCGUGCAUCUGAAUGACCCACAGUGCCACUCUGUGCACAGGAAACUGCUCCUUAAUCUAAAGACUUGGAGGAAGGGCGGGGCCGUGGCUGCAGGCGGCUCUGCCAGGGCCAAGCAGCUGCUUCCUGCCGCUAAGAGCAGUGCCCGAGCCACAUCCCCCACGGUGCUCACCACGCCGCCCUCCCCGCCUGCCAGCCCCAGAUAGCAGCAGCUCAGGUCCAGACCGGGGCCUGCCUUUCUGAGGGGAGCGUGCUAUCCGGUUUGGCCACAUGUGGGGGUGGCCCAGAGAAGUCUGCAGAGACAGCAGGCAGGAGGGACAGGAGCCUGAAUUCCUAGAGACUCCUGGACCUGCACUUGCAAGAGGGCAAACUGCACCUGGCCCAGUCACCUGUCACGGGGCUGUCGCCUGGGCUGCUGCUGCCGAGUCCAGCUCCAGGACAGAGGUCAGACGCUGGGGUUUUCUCAGCCCUCCUGCACAUGCUAAGCUACGAAUGCAUCUGGUUUCAAAACAUAUCUGAGGCAUUACCUUGCCAUUGUGCUCUGCCCAUCAGUUUUACAUGCCUCAAACUGAGAAACUAAAAUCAGAAUCACCUGUCCUUGGCCUAGACAAGCCUGGUUGUACAUGAUAGAUAUAUUACUGAUGAAAGCUGCAAUUUUUAGCUGGGCAUGGAGACACAGACCUGUAAUCCCCAGCACUCAGGAGGCUGAGGCAGGAGGAUCACUGAGAGUUCGAGACCAGCCUGGGCUCCAGAGUGAGACCCCUAUCUGAAAAGUAAAAAUUUUAUUAAAGCUGCAAUUUGCAGAACUCAGUGAGAUAUGAUCCCUUUCACUUAAAAACCCCUAUCUGUGCAGAGGAAACCAGUUUCUAAGGGACAGGAGAAAGCACAUGGUGGUGAGAGUGAGAUCAGAGAGCUUUUAUUCACAUUCAGAUGCAAUCUGAACUUUGCAGCCUACUUCGUUCCUUAUUUGAAAACAAAGAAAGUGCACAGGCUGGCCCUGGGGUAGUCCUGGGCACAGGGUCUGCAUUGGCUCCCUGGCUGGGCUACGCUACCGCUGCCCCCUCCUGCACCCUGUCCUGUCCACUCCAAAGCUGCUGUCCAUCCGGUGGGUCACAGGUCUCGUCCCUGUGUCAGGUCACCUCUCUGCUUCCGCACUGUUCACACUCCUGGACUCAAAGGGAAUCCCAGCUGAGACCCGUCACAUCCAGGCACCAGCUCCCCGGGAUGAAUGCAGCCACCAGUGUGCUGCAAACGCAGACUCAUAAAUGUGAAAACUGAGAACAAAAACAGUGCCGCGGACGCCAUGCUCUCGUUUGUUAAGUGAAUGCUCGCCGUCCCCCCCAGUAAGCGAGCACUGAGCCAUCUUAUUUUAGUUUUGUUCUGCUUCAUUUUUGUGACAGCAUCUCUGUGGUGGUUCAGGCUAGUUUUGAACUCACUGUGUUGCCCACACUGGGCUUGGACUCAUGGUGAUCCUCCUGCCUCGGCCUCCUGAGUGCUAGGAUUGCAGGCAGUGCUUGACUAUCUUUGUUUCCCAUUAGCUCAGAUUGGGUGGAACGUACAAGACAAGCAUCAGGCCAGGAACCUCGCCAUCAACCAAAUGGCCAGGCAGUGCUGUCAAAGGAGGAUUUACAGGCUAGAGAUGACAUUAACACACCAAGUGUGUGCCCAAGGAUGAAGAUGAUGGACUGGGGCGUGACCCAGAAGGGCUGAAAACCCACAGAAGUUCUCCCACAGACAGGAUCCCCACACGACGUUGUGAAAUUCUUGAAACAGUGAACCAGAGGCCGCCAGGGCUCCAGCUUCUUUAAGCAGAGCUCUGUGGGUCCCAGCGGUCUUCAGAGUUCUGUAAUCCGUUUAAAGAAAAGCACCCAUGGUGUUGAAUUAGCACGUGGUACUUCCGAGGAAUUCACAUCACUGUUUUAGAUGAACCGGAUGGCACUGAAGUAUCUAGAACACACUGGAUGACAGAGUACGGAUCGCUUCUCACCCCCAUAAUUUAAACUGUGCUUGUUUGCUGAUAAGGUGGGAGCUUUCAGGACUUCCUGUCCCCUUCCUUGAAUUCCCUCAGUCUUUUAAAAAAUUGGUUAAUGGGCCAGUUUGCUUUUAGAGGGAGGACUCUAGUCAGUGUAAAUAGAAAAUGAGUUAGAAGCUCAGCAUUAAUCCCAGCACUCAGGAGGCUGAGGCAAGAGGAUCGUUGGGAGCUGAAUUGCAUAGAGACCCUGUCUCCAAAAAUCAGAAAGAAAGACAUCACCUUCACUGCAAGUGUGGUUCUUUUUGUUUGUUUGUUCUUGCUUUUGUUUUUGGUGGGUGCUGGGAAUCGAACUCAGGACCUCACACUUGCCAGGCAGGUGCUAUAUCCUGGCCCCAGGCUGGUUCUAGCUUAAACCCUGAAAGAAUCAGAGUCACGGGGCUGCCGGGUUUCUGACAUGGGCCUGGCUGGGGGCUCAGCACCUGUGGCUCUCAGAGGCCCUGCUGCCCUUGUGUCGUGCUUGGAAUGUGGUCUUGGCACAAAGCACGAACUUCUGCGAGCUCUGCACAAGGAAGGAGGUGAAAUCUAGGGAUCACCACCGUACGUGCUGCACCCCACACACACGUUUCCCAGGCCAGAACCCUGCACACUCGCGUGCCGCACGCAUGGGGUCCCCGUGGGCACCCGUCCCCAUGAUCACACUGGGUUUCCAGGGCAGCCGUUUUAUCGCAGGCCCCCUGUGCUGUCUGCCGUGUUUAUUGUAGGCUUCCAUUUCUCUGUCCAGCCGCAUGGCACCUGCCUGGCAAAGUGCGAGGUCAUGAGUUCAAUUCCCUGUACCAAAAAAAAGAGAGGCGGCUAGCUCAAGACCCAAAGCUCAUCUCCGUUUCAGACAGGUUGUGACGUGGUGGUGACAUACCUCCCCACGAGGCUCCUAAGCCAGUGCCAGCCUGGGCACAGGGAGGGAGAGGCAGUGGACGUGCAGCCCCUUUGUGUCUGCCCCUGGGUGUGGUCCAUGUCUGAGCCAGCUCCAAGCAGCCCUGUGUUGCACUGUGCCUGGAGAGGACAGUGCCUUUGCAAGCCCAACUCUGUGCUGACUGUAAACGCCAGACCCAGCCCAGCCAGGCCAUGCUGGACUUCUCUCCCUCCCUCCCUCCUGGGCCUGCUGGCCUCAGCUGGAAUCAUGCUGGGUACAGAGUGUGCCAGCUCAGGGCAGCAUAGCCUGGGACCCUGGUGCCACACACGUGGCCGUCGAGUGCUCAGACAGUUGUUCCCAGGGUCAGUUCGGCCCAGGGCUCUAACCCAGAGCACAGGAGCAGCAGGAAUCCCGUCCAGUGGCCCAGAGCUCUCCCCGGAACCAACCGAGCAGGUGGGCUUGGUUGGACCAGUGGCCAGUGUCCUGGAGGAGACCUGGGGAAGGAACCGCAAGGGACACUCUGGUUCUGAGGUAGUGACCCCUGGGCACCUGGCCCCUGGCAGGCUCCUGAUGGCUGCCCUGUCGGCUGCAAACCACCCGUCCUCAUCUGACCUCAGCACCCACAGAGCCUCAUUCUCAGCAUUCAUCAAGCUGAGAGAGAAAAAGCCGUGGGUUGCUUCCCCUCUAGGUGAGGUUAUGGCUUUGAAGUCAGAAAAAUGUGGACUAAAACUCCAUUUUGAACCAGGCAAGGUGGCAUACACCUAUAAUCCCAACACUUGGGAGGCUGAGGCAAGAAGAUUACUGCAAGUUCAAGACCAGCCUGGGCUAAAUGGCAAGUACAAGGCCAGCCUGGACUGCAUAGCAAAACUUGUCUAAGGAAAAAAAAGAAAAGAAACUAUUCCUACCACUUAAUACCCAGCAGAUCUUGGGCAAAAUACAUGAUCUUUCUCAUGUGGUCUCACCCCAUCCAACCUCGUAGGGCUGCAGGGCGUAAUAAAGGGCUAAUGGAAUACCGGUGUCGCCAUGGCCCGUGGUGAUAAAUGAGGAAGAUGAUUCCUGUUAUACUGAGCUAACAGGAGAGGGGAACAGUAUUUAUUUGCAGUUAGUUGCGUAACAACAGGCGUUCAGAAGCCAACAGCCUCUAAGAAGAAAGGUGCUCCAUUCUCUUGGAGAAGUCCACAGUUGCUGUUCUUGUCAGGAGCCAAACAAACGAAAAACACAGACGCUCUCAACAAACCCUGCACAUAGGGUUAGGGAGCCCGCCUGUGCACCUCCGAGCCCUGAAACCUUCUGGGUCAUCAGCAGGGAGCAGGAGUCCAUAAAAGGUCAGCUCAGUCACUGUGCACAAAGGUCAGCUGGCUCAGCUGUCCCACCCUAGGCGUGGCCUCCUUGGGCCUCAGUUUCUCCCUGUAGGAGGGGGGUGCAGGUUGAGCCUGCCUCGUGGGAUCUCCUGGGCUACCAGGAUAAUAUGUCUGGCCGGGAGCCUCCUCUCUGGCAUUUAACCUCUGGGAGCUGCUUUUGUGAUUAGGAUCUUUAUGACCGGGGAGCACAGAGCCCAGCCCAUUGGACUUUCCUCCGGGAAUCCUGGGAAAAUCCGGGACCCCAGGAGCCGGCUUUUAUGAGGAACAAGUAGAAAAGCAGAACUGGCUGUGAGCAGUUGGAGUCCCAUAUGCCUGUGACACUGGGCCGUCGGCCGUAGCCACUGCAAACUGAGACACCCUGCAAGCACAGGGCACCAGGCUCCAAAGUUCAGUGCCCAAAACGAAACCUCUGUCAGUAACUGAGAUGGGUUUUAUGCCAGCAUGGUUCUGUGGUGCUAAAUCAGUGGUAUUAGAAUGAAUUUCACCUUUUCUCCUCUACUCUGUGCAUGGCCACCAGCAUUCACAAGUCACGGGCGGGGUCAGCCUCGGUAUCGGGCAGCCCUGGGUCUAGAAUUAGAAGAAGUUUGAGACAAUCAGACAUUGUGGUCACCAGGACAGGGCGGUGUCGCUCAAGAGAAAGGUCAUCAGGAAGAUGAGGGAGAAACGGGGGUGUUUCCCAGGUGUCUUGGUUGUUUUCCUCUUUGCUGGGACCAAACACCUGGCACUUGCGACUUAAAGGAGAGGUUUGUUCUGGCUCAGUGUACAGAGGCUUCAGUGCAUGGUCGCCGGCUGCAGCCAGGGUGGCAUGGCAGAGGGGCUGGCUGAGAGCUGCUCGCUGCAUGACGCAACAAGCAGCAGGAGGAAAGACGAAGAGUCCAGAAAGAGAUGCCACGGCCCCUGGUGAUGCCACUUCCUGCCAGGCCUCACCCCCUGACAGCAAGCCUGCUAGGGCUUCAGCAGUUUGGGCCAUGCGUCGUGGCCAAUGUGCCCUCCUGACCCCACUGGGCUCCUGCUGUGUGCAUUCUCAGGUCAUCAUGGCCACAAGCUUUCGAGGCAGGCCUCUGGUUUCCUGCCCCAUUUUAGAGAUGAGGGUACUGAAGCUUGGCUGCCCCCUAGCCUGGGUCCCGGGUCUGAGAAGGGUUGCGCGUUGUCAUGCAGGGCUGGCAUCAGGCAGAGCAUGCGUGGGCUCCCUGCCUACCCUGGCUAUUCUCAGCAAACCCCAGAUUCCACCCAUAGCAGAGGAGUGUGGCAAAUACUGAGUGCCCUGCAGAGUCGGAGGCCGCCCAUGCACGGGGGGUCAAGGGCAGAGAAAGGAGUUAGGGCCCCUAGGGUCACAGAUCCAGCGGCAGAGACCUGGUCUCCACGGGCAGAGCCAGCCAGAAGCACCUGGCGCCUCGUGGGUCAGGUUUGGCAUCAGCACCCAGUUCCUAGGGUUCGCGGCCAGGGCUGGAGGGUGCCAGGAUCAGCCUGGUGCAGGGCAGCAGCCACCUGGAUUCAAAGGCAGUUGUUUCCGUGGCACUGCUCGCCCCACAGGGCCCUCGGAGUUUCGCGCAUCCCGUGUCUCAACCACGGGGAGCCCCGUCUGGGUUGGCAGUGGCCCCUGCCGGGCCAGCCGCGUGCAACCUGCUCGAGGCCAGGCAUGGAGCUCAGCUGCUCUGGGCCCCUUCUAUGGUGCAGGUGCAGGAGGGGCACAGCCCCAGAAACGCUGGGGAAAUUAAACCCUACCACGGUACAGAAAGUGUGUGCACGCGUUGUCUGCACCACUGCCACUCUGGGUGAGGCCUCCACAGUGCCCCUCGUUCCCAGAGGGCUCAGAGGUUUCGCACUCAGGUUUCCUGUUCUGUUGGUCCCAAGCACUUGUCCUCAACUCCUAGCAGCAGCCCAGCCCUGAGCGGGGUCCUUCACCUGUGGACUCCUCAGGAUCCAGGUUCAGUCCCCUGGCCUGGGCAGUACCUGCAGCAUUUGGGUUGCUCAGCAGUGGGGGCCUGGUGAGACUUGGGUCGGAGCCGAGGUAGCCCUUUUGCAGACUUCGUGGUCCGGUACAGCUCACAGAAGCGCGCUACAGUUUGGUGAGAGUGCUAGCCGCUGGCCUCACUGCUAGCAGGCUGAACCGAGAAAGGAGCAGGCUCCCGUUGUGCCCCGGAACUGUCCCCCAGGCCUGGAGGGGAGCACGGGGUCCAAAGGCCACCCAGGUCCAUAUCAGCUAGAAACUGACCCUGUGCCCACCCCACCAGCUGGUUGAGGCUGUGCUUUGCUUUGCUGGUGGUGCUCCAGCUGGAGCCUUUGCACUCAGCUACCCACUGAGGUGCCCCAGGCUAACCUCGAAUUUGCAGUCUUCCUGCCUCAGCCUCCCAGCUGCUGGAAUUACAGGUGUGCACCACCAGACCCAGCUAAUCACUUCUUUAAAGACCCUGUAUCCAAAUCCAGUCAGCUCCAAGGUGGUGAGGAUUAGAACCUUGGCAUAUGAGAUGGGGGCAAGGUUAUGGACUUCAACCCGGGAUACCGUCCAAUGGUUUUUAACUCCACCCUGCCGCUGAGGAAAACAUACCAGGAAGAGCUAAGAACUGCUGCCAGCUCCACCCCUUCAAGAGCUGUAGAGUGCUUCAUGCAUGGUGUAGAGGACGGUACAGGUAUCAAGCACCCAGAAAAAAAGUAUUCUUUUUGUUUAGGACAUUCUUUUGCAUUGUGCUUGUUCGGUUGGUUGGUGGUUUUGUUGUUGUUGUUGUUGUUGUUGUUGUUGUUGUUGUUUAGUUUGUUUGUUUGAUUGUUUUGCAACAGGGUCUCGUGUAGCUCAGGCACCUUUGAACUCACUACAUAGCCUCAAAUUCACAGUUGCCUCAGCUUCCCAAAUACUGGAAUUACAGGGAUGUGCCACCACGCCUGGCCUCACAUGUGCGUGUGCGUGUGUGUGUGUGUGUGUGAUGCCAGGGAUCAAACCCAGAGCCUGAGCCUACUAAGCAAGUUCUCUCCCGCCAACCCCCCAGUGCAUUUAUUCCCGAGGCAGGAAGGUCAGACCUGAAGCCUAUGGUUUACAAGACCUGCCCAGGGCCUUGUGGCUGGGAAGUGGCAGGAAUGGGACUGAGGCCAGAUGCCCUGGCUUGGCCUUGAAUGUGUCCCUGAAGUUUGGUAUCCAGGGCAUGGAGCCAAGGCAGUAUCCCCAGGUCACAUGGGCAGCUGCCAGGCCAGGCACUAGCUGGAAUUAAAGAGGCCCUGCUGCUCAGGCCCAGCUCUGCAGGAUUUGGGGAUAUUUUCCGGAAGCCUCCCUACUAAAGCUGCUGGUCGGCUCAAAGCGCUGUCUCUCUCUCUCUCUCUCUCUCUCUCUCUCUCUCUCUCUCUCUCACUGCAGAGUUAGCUGCAUGUGGCUGGCCCCGUGCCUUGCAGUCCAGGUUUACCCUGCAGGCCCUGGUGUGGCCGCCCAGCCUUGAAACCUUUCUCUCCUUUCCCAGAGGGCACAGGAGCCCAGGUUGGUGUGGAGCUGGGUUCGCAUACCCAGGAGCAUCGCACUGCAUCCUGCUGUACCCAGCAAGCCAGGGAGCCCGGCCACCCUGUCCUGCUGCUCCACAAAUGGCCCAGGGCUAGAAUCAGACCCUGGAAGCCCAAAGCAGGAUCAGAGCAGAAAUGGAGGCCUGGGGCUUGCUCUAAUUUUUUUCCAGCCUCUUUUAUUACAGCCGCAGGGUGUUUGCUCAGGAGCCUUGGCAGCUGGCCAGUGAUGAGGCACUGGCUGGAUCCUGGGUCUCCCUGAUACCUUCCUUCCAGAGUGUUCAGGCCUGCACCCCCCACCUCCACUCUGAAGCCCGGAGACAAGGCUGGAAUGCAGGUUUCCCUUGUGGGACAUGCGGUGCCUAGCAGAUGCCACGAAGCUGAGCUUCCAGAUGAAUGCUAGCUUCAAACCAGCGCCUAGGUUUGCCCAGCUCCACUGCUGUGCAAAGCUGUCCCCCGAUGUAACUCGGUACCCACAAAAGGCUUGGAUGGCAGCCGCACAGCAGCUCCUGGUCUUGGGGCUCAGAGCCACCACAGGCUGACCUUGCCCUGUGGGGACCAGAUGGGCAGGUAGAACCCUCUCACCUGGAAGAGGAGGCAACCAGCAAGCCUGGUGCAGUUGGGCCUGCCAAAGUCAGCCCCGCCCAGGACCUCUGCCUGCCCCUGCUGCACUGGUGGAGUUGGUCAGAGUCGCCCCUUUCCCUGGAGCUGGUGGGAAGGGCGGCUUCCAGAGAGGAAAGACUUCUCAGCCAGUUCCAGGAGCACGAGCUGGGUCACUUCGAGGCCAGCUCUUCCAACCUCGGUUGCUUCCUCUAUAAAACCAGGACAGGGCAGUCACAGCCCAUUUGAGGUUACAGAGAGCCUUCCCAGAGUCACACGGAAGCAGCCUGUGCCCACUCAGGUUCCACACAAGUGCCAGGAAGCUGCACUUCUGCAAGCUCUGGACAGCCCAGGAUGGAGACCCAGAUCACACCCUCCAGAGGCUCGGAGAGCUGUGGGGCUUUCUUGCUGGGCUGCAGCCAGCUGCUACAUGGUACGGCACAGCUGCACGUGGUGGGGGGGGCACCUCCAACUCUCCACACUGCAGCAGGACCCCUGCCUGGACUCGGGGUAGCCAGUAAAGAACGGCUCAGAGCACCUUGAAGAGGCUCAACUGGAAAUGACAACUCUGAUCCGAUUUCUGCAUAGGAACAAAGUUUAAAUCAGAGAUUCUCCUCUUUUCCCCUGGCCCCUCCUGUUAGCUUCCCCAAGCUAUGGUUGGACACUCAGUAGACAGCAGUUUGCGUUUAGGAGGUGAGUAAAGCAGCAAAAUCUCCGUGUCCAAGACCUGACCUCGUUUUCUAGACUUGGCGACCCGGUCCUGCUGAGGGAAGGGGGUGUCAGGGAAUGAGGCAGACUGGAGUGGGAACCCAGGAGGAAGGAGUCCUCUUGCAUGUUUGACUUCUCGGUAGGAUCUGUGACCGCUUCCUGUUUAUUCCCAGCAACACACUGUACCCAGGACCAGGCCCACUCAGUGAAAAGUAGGGUGAACCGUCUGGACUUGAGGAGCAAACUCGAGGCCCCAGAUAUUCAAGCAUCACUUGAGAAUCCCAGGCCAGCCAGGCAGCAUCCCAGAUCACCCCAUGUUUAGGAGGUGUUGUGUGGAUUUUAGGGGCCUUUCCAGAGUGAACAGGGAGUGGUGCUGAGUGACCAGAACAAGGUCCCCCUCACCGUCCCAUAACUCAGCCAUCAGAACUGGAAGCUGCAGUGCGGUGGGCUUGCAGGUCUCGCUGUUGUAGUUUGUUUGCACCCACUGAGCUGCGCAUGUGCAGUCUCAGCUCCUGCUUGCUUGUAGCCAGGUCAGGAAGGAGGAACGCCCGCCUCGUGUGCAAGAAGUCGGUGUUCCCACACUGGGCAAGGAGCUCCCUGGGCCCGCUAUAAACUCGGGGGCUGCAAGCUGACAGCCUCACAGCUGACAGCAGAGCACUGUGUCCCCAUUGGUCGUGCAGUUGCAGGACACCUGCCCGGAUCUCAGAAUCAUUGCACCCGAGGUGUCAGGAAGCAGAGGACCUUUAUGGUUCAUCGUAUAGGCCUCAGGGAGACGUGGGUGGCAAAACCCAGACCUCCCAGGGAGAAAGCGGCCCGAGUCUGGACAGGGUCUGAGAACCUGCGCUUUGGUCACUGUCGGUCUGGCCAGGCGCCGGGUCCAUCCUGUCCCCAGCCCGCCGUGCAUGAGCCCCUUAUACCGUUGCUCCCAGGCUGUCCUUACUCCCCAGUGUUCCAACCAGCACUGACACAGGAGCCCAGAACCCACCACACCCCUGGGAGGGGACCCUGAGCCUCUCCUUGGGCUGGAUGGCAUGCCUGAGGCGUCCCAGGCUGUGUUGACACCAGGUCACCUAGGCCAGGACCGAGCCGGGGCCACCCUGCCCUGCACAGCCUCCUCCCAGCUUCCUGCUCCGCAGGGCUUCCGGUUGCCAAGGGCGGUGCCCCAACUUCAUGCUUGGGGUUGCUGGCCAUGGGGUGGCGAAGGGCUGGCCUCGAAAUCGCAUCCAUCCAUCCAUCCUCCUGCCUCAGCUCUCAGGUGCUGGGAUGACAGAUUUUAGGGAGGGACCGGUAAAGAUGUCCAGCAAAACCGCCAGCACCAACAACAUAGCCCAGGCCCGGAGGACCGUGCAGCAGCUGCGGCUCGAAGCCUCCAUUGAGAGAAUAAAGGUGUCUAAGGCGUCUGCG